rfam:Hepacivirus hominis isolate 365546 polyprotein gene, complete cds
UAGGCUGAUCGCCCGGGGGGGGAACGCCGCUAUAUGUGGCAAGUACCUCUUUAACUGGGCGGUCCGAACC